rnacentral:rRNA from 1 species
AGAGUUUGAUCCUGGCUCAGAAUCAAAAAAGGCGGCGUGCCUCAGACAUGCAAGUCGAACGCGAAAGUCCCCUUCGGGGGGCUAGUAGAGUGGCGCACGGGUGAGUAACACGUAGGUAAUCUACCUUUGGAUUGGGAAUAACAACCGGAAACGGUUGCUAAUACCGAAUAAUGCAGCGGCACCUAAUGGUGACAGUUGUUAAAGCGGGGGAUCGCAAGACCUCGCGUCUGAUGAGGAGCCUGCGGCAGAUUAGCUAGUUGGUAAGGUAACGGCUUACCAAGGCGAUGAUCUGUAGCCGGCCUGAGAGGGCGGUCGGCCACACUGACACUGACAUACGGGUCAGACUCCUACGGGAGGCUCCAGGCGGGAAUUUUGGGCAAUGGGAGAAAGCCUGACCCAGCAACGCCGCGUGAAGGAUGAAAUCCCUCGGGAUGUAAACUUCGCAAGAACAGGAAGAAUAAGUGAGAGUUAACACCUCUUACGAUGACAGCACUGUUUGUAAGCUCCGGCUAACUCCGUGCCACCAGCCGCGGUAAUACUGGGGGAGCAAGCGUUGUUCGGAUUUACUGGGCGUAGAGGGCGCGUAGGCGGCCACCGCAAGUCAAUUGUGAAAUCUCCGGGUUUAACUCGGAAAGGUCAAUCGAUACUGCGGGGCUAAAGUGCAUACAGGGCAACUGGAAUUCUCGCUUGUAACGAUGAAAUGCGUAGAUAUCGAGAGGAACACCUGCUGCAAAGGCCUUUUGCCUGGUCUGACACUGACCCUGAUAUGCGAAAGCUAGGGAAGCGAACGGCAUCAGGUUCCCCCGGUAGUCCUAGCCCUUAAACGAAGAAUAGCUUGGGGGCCCGGGGUUCUAUAGUCCCCGGGGGGCCGGCGCUACCGCUAUAAAUCACUCCCGCCGGCGAAAACCGUCACAAGAUUGAAACUCACCGAAAUGACGGGGAACCCGCAAAGCGGUGGGAACUGGUGGUUUAAUUUCGUUCCCACGGCGAAGAAACCUGACCUGGUGCUAGGAAUGGUCCCGUGACACGUCCCCCUAUAAAUGGGGAUUCUCUGGGAGUAAAAUCCAAAAUACGUGUCUAAGGGGUCUGGCUGGGCGUACCGUUGCGGCUCGAGUUCCUGGAAAGAGUUGGGCUAACAUUCUCCCCCACACUAAUGGGGCCUAACCCGUUAAACACAAUAAGUGGGAAUU